rnacentral:rRNA from 1 species
UACGAAGGGGGCUAGCGUUGUUCGGAAUUACUGGGCGUAAAGGGCGCGUAGGCGGCCUGCUAAGUCGAACGUGAAAUCCCUGGGCUCAACCCAGGAACUGCGUCCGAUACUGGUUGGCUUGAAUCCGGGAGAGGGAUGUGGAAUUCCAGGUGUAGCGGUGAAAUGCGUAGAUAUCGGGAGGAACACCAAGGGCGAAGGCAGCGCGCUGGGACGUUACUGACGCUGAGACGCGAAAGCGUGGGGAGCAAACAGG